AUUUAAAUAGCUUAUAGUUAGAGCAUAAUAUUGAAGAUAUUAAGGAAAUAGGUUUAUUUUUAAAUA
rnacentral:tRNA from 1 species